ACAGAUGGAUCAUUACUGAGUUUACGCUCUACACCCUUUGUGAACAUACCUAUAACUGUUGCUUCGGCGGGUAGGGUCUCCGUGACCCUCCCGGCCUCCCGCCCCCGGGCGGGUCGGCGCCCGCCGGAGGAUAACCAAACUCUGAUUUAACGACGUUUCUUCUGAGUGGGGCAAGCAAAUAAACCAAACUUUUAACGACGGAUUGGUUGUUUCUGGCAUCAAGAACGAACGAAAGUGGGUGGGAUAAGUGGAGUUGCAAAAAUCCUUGAAUCACUGAAUCUUUCAAUGCACAUUACUUCCGCCAGCAUUCUGCCGGCCUCGCCGGUCCAAGCGCCAUUUCAUCCCUCAUUCUCUGUUGGGUGUUGGGGCCUCCACCUGAUAUAGAAGGCCUUAGGUAGUGGGGGAGACUCCUCCAGACUCCUCUGUGCAGUAACAUUUUGUCUCGCAGUGGGAGCAUCAGGAACUCUUGCCGGCAAAACACCCAUUUUUUUAAAGGUUGACCUCGGAUCAUGGAAGGAAAAACCCGCUGAACUUAUUCACAUGUGCCGGAA
rnacentral:rRNA from 1 species